rnacentral:rRNA from 1 species
CUGGGGAGUACGACCGCAAGGUUGAAACUCAAAGGAAUUGACGGGGGCCCGCACAAGCGGUGGAGCAUGUGGUUUAAUUUGAAGCAACGCGAAGAACCUUACCAGGUCUUGACAUCCUUUGACCACUUUAGAGAUAGAGCUUCCCCUUUGGGGGCAAAGUGACAGGUGGUGCAUGGUUGUUGUCAGCUCGUGUCGUGAGAUGUUGGGUUAAGUCCCGCAACGAGCGCAACCCUUAUUGUUAGUUGCCAUCAUUCAGUUGGGCACUUUAGCAAGACUGCCGGUGACAAACCGGAGGAAGGUGGGGAUGACGUCAAAUCAUCAUGCCCCUUAUGACCUGGGCUACACACGUGGUACAAUGGGAAGUACAACGAGUUGGGAAGUCGCGAGGGUAAGCUAAUUUUUUAAAGCUUUUUUCAGUUCGGAUUGCAGGGUGCAACUUGCCUGCAUGAAGCCGGAAUCGCUAGUAAUCGCGGAUCAGCCCGCCGCGGUGAAUACGUUCCCGGGCCUUGUACACACCGCCCGUCACACCACGGGAGUUUGUAACCCCCGAAGUCGGUGAGGUAACCUUUUUGGAGCCAGCCGCC